UCUGUCUGCAGGAGGACAAGGGACAGGUGGUGUUUUAUGAUGUCAGGGCCACUUCAGCACCUCUGUCCGGGCUGAGAGACCCAAGGUUUCAGUGCUGCACUAAGUAUGUAAGGAAAAAACAUCUAUUUUUCUCUGUUUCCCAGCACACAGGCCUCUCCAGAGAGAGUGCUUACUCUUGUGAAAUGACUGGAUUUUUCUUUUAGUUACUUCAAAAUUCUACAGACCCAGUCCCUAACUCAGUAAGCCUUUCCCUAGUGGAAAAUCUUAAAACUGCAUAGAACCAGAAGCAAGAAUCGGGCUGGAUGAGAGUGCUGGUCAUUAGGACAUUUGAAAUACCCUGCUCUCCUUAGAAGUUCCUAAUGGAGACCUUUAGAGGAAGAAUAGAGGUCAGAAGGCCCAGGACAUCUCCGAAAGAACUGGUCCCUUUCUCUAGAAGAAGCCCCUAUUGCCAGGCUCCUACUG
rnacentral:lncRNA from 1 species